CCUCAAGAAAUGGCAAUACUAGAAUAUCGAAGAUAUAUGACAAAUAUAAGUUGACUUGGGUAUUUCUCAGAAUAAUAAUUGCUAGGAUAAAGAUACAAAGCGAAUGUGCCAGCUUGAAGAUAAGUUCCACCAAGGUCUUUCUUACGGUGCACAUAGCUUACACAACGGAUGCUUACUGCGCGAAUGCUUCCUGCUAUGAUUCCUACUUAUAAUUCAUGACGGUAAUCUGAACUUAGAUGACACAAGCGUCAAUUCAUACAGCGAGCCCAAUGAUGCAGAAUAUUAUUCCACGACGAAUAAGAUCAGGGCACAUAGCUUACAACAGACUCCCACGACAGACACGAAUCAGUUGAGCAGUUUUUAAGUUAUGGGACACAAACAAACGCACAUACAUACAUACAUACAAUAAGGCCAAACACCCGGCACAGUCAGAAAACAAAAAGAAGAUAUCUGAAGAGACGCGAACGUGAGGAAGAAUUGAGGAAAGCUAGCUGCAAAAUAAUAUUAUCAAGG
rnacentral:lncRNA from 1 species